GGAGUUAGCCGGUGCUUCUUCUGCGAGUAACGUCACAGAUGUAAGGUAUUAACUUACACCCUUUCCUCCUCGCUGAAAGUGCUUUACAACCCGAAGGCCUUCUUCACACACGCGGCAUGGCUGCAUCAGGGUUUCCCCCAUUGUGCAAUAUUCCCCACUGCUGCCUCCCGUAGGAGUCUGGGCCGUGUCUCAGUCCCAGUGUGGCUGAUCAUCCUCUCAGACCAGCUAGGGAUCGUCGCCUAGGUGAGCCUUUACCUCACCUACUAGCUAAUCCCACCUGGGCUUAUCCAUCAGCGCAAGGCCCGAAGGUCCCCUGCUUUCCCCCGUAGGGCGUAUGCGGUAUUAGCAGUCGUUUCCAACUGUUAUCCCCCACAAAUGGGCAAAUUCCCAGGCAUUACUCACCCGUCCGCCGCUCGUCAUCUUCAAAGCAAGCUUUUGAAAUGUUACCGCUCGACUUGCAUGUGUUAGGCCUGCCGCCAGCGUUCAAUCUGAACCAAGAUCAAAUUCNGA
rnacentral:rRNA from 1 species